rnacentral:rRNA from 1 species
UCGAUUUGGAGUUUGUUGCCUAGAGUGAUGGGCUCCGAAGCUAACGCGAUAAAUCGACCGCCUGGGGAGUACGGCCGCAAGGUUAAAACUCAAAUGAAUUGACGGGGGCCCGCACAAGCGGUGGAGCAUGUGGUUUAAUUCGAUGCAACGCGAAGAACCUUACCUGGUCUUGACAUCCACAGAAUCUUGCAGAGAUGCGAGAGUGCCUUCGGGAACUGUGAGACAGGUGCUGCAUGGCUGUCGUCAGCUCGUGUUGUGAAAUGUUGGGUUAAGUCCCGCAACGAGCGCAACCCUUAUCCUUUGUUGCCAGCGAUUUGGUCGGGAACCCAAAGGAGACUGCCGUUGAUAAAGCGGAGGAAGGUGGGGACGACGUCAAGUCAUCAUGGCCCUUACGACCAGGGCUACACACGUGCUACAAUGGCGUAUACAAAGGGAGGCGACCUCGCGAGAGCAAGCGGACCUCAUAAAGUACGUCUAAGUCCGGAUUGGAGUCUGCAACUCGACUCCAUGAAGUCGGAAUCGCUAGUAAUCGUGAAUCAGAAUGUCACGGUGAAUACGUUCCCGGGCCU